ACCUUAUAUAGAUGUAUCAACGCAAGACAGUUGAGCAUUUCCCUAUAAGGUGAUGUUUCAAUAGAAGUAUAAACAACAAGUCUUAUUGUGUAGUUAUGAGUUGAAAUAAGAUGAGUUUAUAUGGAAUAGGUUAACCGUAAGACCUUGAGUUGAAAAACUCUAAAAUUAACCUAGAAAUCAAAUUUUUAAAAUUUCGUAUUUUCUAGUUACGGUUGG
rnacentral:ncRNA from 1 species